UGGGAGAUAUUGGACAAUGGGCGCAAGCCUGAUCCAGCCAUGCCGCGUGUGUGAAGAAGGCCCUCGGGUUGUAAAGCACUUUCAGUGGGAGAAACGCCUGGUGGUUAAUACCCGUCAGGAAGGACAUCACCCACAGAAGAAGCACCGGCUAACUCCGUGCCAGCAGCCGCGGUAAUACGGAGGGUGCGAGCGUUAAUCGGAAUUACUGGGCGUAAAGCGCGCGUAGGUGGCUUGAUAAGCCGGUUGUGAAAGCCCCGGCUGCAACCUGGGAACGGCAUCCGGAACUGUCAGGCUAGAGUGCAGGAGAGGAAGGUAGAAUUCCCGGGUGUAGCGGUGAAAUGCGUAGAGAUCGGGAGGAAUACCAGUGGCGAAGGCGGCCUUCUGGACUGACACUGACACUGAGGUGCGAAAGCGUGGGUAGCAAACA
rnacentral:rRNA from 1 species